rnacentral:tRNA from 1 species
GCAUGGGUAGUUCAGCGGUAGAAUUCUCGCCUUCCAUGUGGGAGACCCCAGUUCGAUUCUCAGCCAAUGCA